ensembl:snRNA U6 U6 spliceosomal RNA
GUGCUCACGUCAGCGGCACGUAUACUAAAACUGGAACAAUACAGAGAAGAUUAGCAUGGCUCCUGCACAAGGGUGACACACAAACAGCGGGCACAGCCAUACCAUUGC